ensembl:lncRNA
GACAAUCCAAUCGUUGAUGUCUUUGUUUUGCACAAAGACAUUGUCCAGGGGGGAAAGUAGAUGUAAUUUCGUACUGGAACUGAACACCCAAGUGCGCGCGCACACUUUUUUUUAUACUACAAAAAUGACAGGGUAGCCAACUCUGCUGACACUGACGACAGAUCAAUAAAAACUAUGCUGUCUGAUCCAUAUAAUCAGCCUGCGAAAAGAGGAAACACAAAUACAAUAUGACUACCAUCUAACCUGGAGGAGAAACGAUUGUCCAAAAACACAGAAAAGGGGCACUGACCCAGUGAAUAUGCACCGGGGAUAUGGCUGAUGUUCUCCCGCUGGUGCUAAUAAGAUAUGCCACUGUUCCCUCAAGACUAUUCAAGCGAUCGACUCACUGAUGCAUGAAGAUGAUGAGCUAUCAGCAAAGGCCAUCUGGAGUCCCAAGCAUCCCCUCAAACGUCAUGCGGGGGUGCCAACUUCUUGCCAGGGACCAGGCACAUAUUUGAGUUUUGAUGACAAUGACCCAAAACACACUGCCACCCGGGUUUGCAUUGCAAAUGAGGGCAUAAACUGGGUCAAGACUCCGCAGACUCCUCUCCAGCCUGCAACAGGCUUCUGUUGAGACCUCACCUUUCUCCAGGACCCCCUCUGCUACAGCCUCUGUGAAGACCACCACUGCCUCUGUUGUCUCUCAAGACACCGCCAGCUCUUCUACAGACUCUGAGACCUGAUUGGUGUUGACUGGCUGCUCAGGUAGACUGGGAAGGCCAUACAGGACAAUGACUGACUCGGAGGAGACUGAUUUUGAAGGCUAUGCAUUAUAACCCACAGUUGGUAGUCCUCUGGAUGACUUCAUCACCACCACAGCUGACUUCUCUGAUGCCAUAUUGAGGACAUCUGAAAAUAAAUGUGGUCCUGCUUUGUGACAUUUCAGGAAGGCUCCAUGUUAUACCGAUCGCACUACAUGUUUUUUUUGUGUGUAGAUAUGGUUAUCCUUGUUUGAUAGAGCCAUUGGAGGUCUUUCAGCGAUUUUCGUUAAUUGCUAAAAGUCUCUGAAACUCGAG